rnacentral:rRNA from 1 species
CGUAGGUGACGAGCGUUAUCCGGAUUUACUGGGCGUAAAGCGCUUGUAGGUGGCUUUGUAAGUUGGGCGUGAAAACUCUGGGCUUAACCCAGAGACGCCGUCCAAUACUGCGAGGCUCGAGGAUGUCAGAGGAAGGUGGAAUUCCUGGUGUAGUGGUGAAAUGCGUAGAUAUCAGGAGGAACACCCGUGGCGAAGGCGGCCUUCUGGGGCAUUCCUGACACUGAGAAGCGAAAGCUAGGGGAGCAAACAGGAUUAGAAACCCUGGUAGUCCUAGCUGUAAACGAUGGAUGCUAGGUGUUGGCGGAUUUAACCCUGCCAGUGCCGAAGCUAACGCGUUUAGCAUCCCGCCUGGGAAGUACGAUCGCAAGAUUA